CCCCUCCUCAUCCCUCCCCUCCUUCUCUCCUCCCCUCCCACAUGACCUGCCUCCCUGACGUAUAGAGCUCCUAUAUAAGGCUGCUAUGUGCUAGGCAGUACAUGAUGCCAAUUUGAUGUACAUUAAACUGUAGUGGAAAUACAUGACAUCCUUGUCAUUUUCUAUUGGCAAAUAUUUGGGGAAUUAUCAUUGAGUUCCUACCUCAGCCUUUUCAUUUGUCUUAGUGUCUGCUGCACUAAAAAAAAAGUCACCAUGUUCAAAGUAUUCACCACGGUCAUCGUUUCUCUCUCCUUCCUCUCAGAGGAGGUGGUGUUCUCCUCCUCUCUCCUCGUCCGCCAGACUCCUCAACACCUCCUGAGGAGGACACCUGAACACAGAGAGGCACACCUGGACUGUCACCAUGGCGACAACAACUACCCGUACAUGUUGUGGUACCAACAGAGGGACAAGGGAGGACAGAAGACGAUGGAUCUCAUUGGAACACUGCACUAUAUAAACCCAACUCUUGAGAAGAACUAUGAAACACGGUUCAACUUAACAGGUCAUUCCAAGGCCAAAGCCACCCUGGUUAUCUCUGAGAUAAACCCGACAGACAGUGCAGUGUAUUACUGUGCAGCCAGUCAGCACAGUGCUGCAAAUUCAUUCCCUCACUAACCAAAAACUACUGGUGCUGGUCGUAUCAACAUGACACACCUGCACAACGUUAACUCUAACUGUCUGGUGAACAAUGAACA